GACGAACGCUGGCGGCGUGCUUAACACAUGCAAGUCGAACGAAGUGGCGAACGGGUGAGUAACGCGUAAUCACCCUGCCAUUCAGAGGGGGACAACAGUUGGAAACGACUGCUAAUACCGCAUACUGAAGGAGGGGAUUGCGUCUGAUUAGCUAGUUGGGGGGGUAACGGCCCACCAAGGCUAUGAUCAGUAACCGGUCUGGGAGGAUGGACGGCCACAUUGGGACUGGGACACGGCCCAGACUCCUACGGGAGGCAGCAGUGGGGGAUCUUCCGCAAUGGACGAAAGUCUGACGGAGCAACGCCGCGUGAGUGAUGACGGCCUUCGGGUUGUAAAGCUCUGUUAAUCGGGACGCGGUACCGGAAUAGAAAGCCACGGCUAACUACGUGCCAGCCACCGCGGUAAUAC
rnacentral:rRNA from 1 species